rnacentral:tRNA from 1 species
AAGAAUUCGCUCAUAGACCGUGAGAUGCAAAUUUUUGUCUUUCCAAAGCGCGCGAUACGUGGGAAUAAAAGAAUUAAAUUUUUUUCUAUAUACAUACCUUCCUUGUUUUAUUUGCUCGAUUUAUUUGUUCCAAAAAAUUCCGAUCUAGAUAAUAUAAUGAUCUAGAUUCAUAUCAGUAUUUAUAAGUC